rnacentral:tRNA from 1 species
GUUUUAAUAAUUUAUUUUAAAAUAUUGGUCUUGUAAACCAACAAUAGGUCUUCCUUUAAAACA